rnacentral:pre_miRNA from 2 species
UCCUGGGAUGCCGUUACCAUCUUACUGGGCAGCAUUGGAUGUUUUCUGUGUUUCUAAUACUGCCUGGUAAUGAUGAUUAUGGUGUCUCGC